rnacentral:tRNA from 1 species
GAGGGAUGGCCGAGCGGUUGAAGGCGGCGGUCUUGAAAACCGUUGUGCGCAAGCACCGUGGGUUCGAAUCCUACUCCCUCC